UCUCCAUACAAGCCAUCCGACAGAUGUGUGGGAGUAUGGGAGUGGGAAGGCUUUAACAGACGCUGCGAACCCACUGCUGACACCAGGGCUCUCGUGUGGGACGAUUUUUCAAGAGGAUUGGCCAGGUGUGCCCUGUUGGGUACAGAACCUUCCGGAUGGCGAGCUAGAUGCAAGAGCCUGAACCCUGUAACACACCCUCUGCAAUCUGGUAGGGGGCUGUUUGCAAGCCAGCCCACUCCCAUCUUUAUUUCUUUUGCCCUGCUCACCGCUCACAUCCACACCAGUUGAAUAGCGCGUAUAUGGACAUUUAUUCAAUUUUCAUGGACUCGGUUUAUUAUUGGACAACUCCUACAUACUGCAUUGUGAAAGGUGAACAGAAUGAUUGUGACCUAACUUGGUGAAAUUGAUGGAGCAAAACUCAACUGGGUUGAGUUUGCAUACUGGCUCGUUACAUGUUGUGAAUCAUUUGGAUGCAAUAAGUCAACUCCUGGAAUUGAAUUUUGUGAACAUGUUUUCCCUUAAUCCUGCAGAUUGUAAAUAUUGUACAUAUUGUAAUUUGUUCCACGUUAUCAUGGUAUAAAUUCACUGAAGGUCAAAAUCUUGACCUAAUGUAAAAAUUUUAGAUGAUAAAGUGCAAUAAAUUUCUAUAAUUUAUAUUUUUAUUCAGACAUUUAUUCAUUUUUUUUCGUUUGAAAAAUCAAGAUGAAAAUAAUCCACUAAACGUCUCUACAAAAACAAAUGUGAGAAGAAAGAAGAAAUAAUGAGUUUAAAAAGUCCACUGGGUGAACAUGGUUGUGCUGGUGGAGUGGAUUUUAAUGAACUGCAAGAUCAGCAGUUUGAUCCCAGGAUUUUCCAUAAUCCUCAUCAUUGGACACUGAACCCCACAUCGUCCCCGAUCACUGUUUUGUUACUGUAGAGAAAAAAUGAAGCAUUCAGUACAAAGACUAUAUGAUAAGUAGCGCUGGGUGAGCUGGUAGAUGAAUGAGUAGAAAGUUCAAAUCUGUUUUGUAGCAUUUAGAUAAAGAUUAGGAGGAAUUAUAUGUAAACUUUUUCUCUACAACAUAAACUCUCCAAUGUUAAUCUGAAUCUAAAAUGAUUACAACAAAUAUUAAUAUAA